UACGGAGGAUCCGAGCGUUAUCCGGAUUUAUUGGGUUUAAAGGGUGCGUAGGCGGCUUUUUAAGUCAGCGGUGAAAUUUUGCAGCUUAACUGUAACAGUGCCGUUGAUACUGGGGAGCUAGGAUUUGGUUGCUGUGGGUGGAAUGUGUGGUGUAGCGGUGAAAUGCUUAGAGAUCACACAGAAUAUCGAUUGCGCAGGCAGCUUACUAAACUACUACUGACGCUCAGGCACGAAGGCGUGGGGAUCAAACAGGAUUAGAUA
rnacentral:rRNA from 1 species